AUUGAACGCUGGCGGCAGGCCUAACACAUGCAAGUCGAGCGAGCGGCGGACGGGUGAGUAAUGUCUGGGAAACUGCCUGAUGGAGGGGGAUAACUACUGGAACCGGUAGCUAAUACCGCAUACCAUCGGAUGUGCCCAGAUGGGCUUAGCUAGUAGGUGGGGUAACGGCUCACCUAGGCGACGAUCCCUAGCUGGUCUUAGAGGAUGACCAGCCACACUGGAACUGAGACACGGCCCAGACUCCUACGGGAGGCAGCAGUGGGGAAGAUUGCACAAUGGGCGCAAGCCUGAUGCAGCCAUGCCGCGUGUAUGAAGAAGGCCUUCGGGUUGUAAAGUACUUUCAGCGGGGAGGCGUUACCCGCAGAAGAAGCACCGGCUAACUCCGUGCCAGCAGCCGCGGUAAUAC
rnacentral:rRNA from 1 species